UACGAAGGGGGCUAGCGUUGCUCGGAAUUACUGGGCGUAAAGCGCGCGUAGGCGGCUUUGCAAGCCGGAUGUGAAAUCCCCGGGCUUAACCUGGGAACUGCAUUCGGGACUGCAUUGCUAGAGUAUGGGAGAGGGAAGUGGAAUUUCAGGUGUAGCGGUGAAAUGCGCAGAUAUCGGGAGGAACACCUAUGGCGAAGGCAGCUCGCUGGGACGUUACUGACGCUGAGACGCGAAAGCGUGGGGAGCAAACAGG
rnacentral:rRNA from 1 species